CCUACGUGGUGCAGCAGUGGGGAAUAUUGGACAAUGGGCGAAAGCCUGAUCCAGCCAUGCCGCGUGUGUGAAGAAGGCCUUCGGGUUGUAAAGCACUUUCAGUGGGGAAGAAAGCCUUGGGGCUAAUACCCUCGAGGAAGGACAUCACCCACAGAAGAAGCACCGGCUAACUCCGUGCCAGCAGCCGCGGUAAUACGGAGGGUGCGAGCGUUAAUCGGAAUUACUGUGCGUAACGCGCGCGUAGGCGGUCUGAUAAGCCGGUUGUGAAAGCCCCGGGCUCAACCUGGGAACGGCAUCCGGAACUGUCAGGCUAGAGUGCAGGAGAGGAAGGUAGAAUUCCCGGUGUAGCGGUGAAAUGCGUAGAGAUCGGGAGGAAUACCAGUGGCGAAGGCGGCCUUCUGGACUGACACUGACGCUGAGGUGCGAAAGCGUGGGUAGCAAACAGGAUUAGAUACCCCAGUAGUC
rnacentral:rRNA from 1 species